GUGCUCCCUUCAGCAGUGCAUAUACUAAAACUGGAACAAUACAGAGAUUAGCCUGGCCUUGUGUGAGGAUGACACACAAAAAGACUGACAUUACCAAGUGUU